rnacentral:rRNA from 1 species
UGGGGAAUAUUGGACAAUGGACCAAGAGUCUGAUCCAGCAAUUCUGUGUGCACGAUGAAGUUUUUCGGAAUGUAAAGUGCUUUCAGUUGGGAAGAAAGAAAUGACGGUACCAACAGAAGAAGUGACGGCUAAAUACGUGCCAGCAGCCGCGGUAAUACGGAAGGUCCAGGCGUUAUCCGGAUUUAUUGGGUUUAAAGGGAGUGUAGGCGGUUGGUUAAGCGUGUUGUGAAAUGUAGAUGCUCAACAUCUGACUUGCAGCGCGAACUGGCUGACUUGAGUACACACAACGUAGGCGGAAUUCAUGGUGUAGCGGUGAAAUGCUUAGAUAUCAUGAAGAACUCCGAUUGCGAAGGCAGCUUACGGGAGUGUUACUGACGCUUAAGCUCGAAGGUGCGGGUAUCGAACAGG